UAACAAGUAAAAUAAUACAAAGUUGAAACACUUAACUAAAUGGCCUAAAGAUUGUUAUUGACUACGACAUACGCUCGCACGCAGCCGUAAAGUGAAAGGUCUCGAAGGUCACGGCUCCUCGGCCUGCGCCCACUGGCCCGCUGGAUGCGUUCUGAGUAAGACGCGUACCUCUAAUUAUUGCUACGUGAGCCUACCUAUCUGCUGUCGUACUAUCGUGCUACCUAAAACGUGUUGUACAUAAUAAUUAUUUACUUUGUGAAUCCCCCGUUAAUUAUCGGGGCCCAUCUACCCGGUACCGGACGUCUAUCAAGCCCCUUAUUCUGCCUGGCCUGGCCUACUGCUAUCCACAUACUACAUCAAGACAUCUACGCCUGGAGCUACGCGACGGAAUUGCAGGACAGUGAUAGUGACGGAACUGAGUUACACACAUUCGGUCGUUUAUAAUUGUGAACCCACCUAUUAAACCUAAGAACCUA